UACGGGGGGGGCAAGCGUUGUUCGGAAUUACUGGGCGUAGAGGGUUUGUAGGUGGCCCGCUAAGUCACACGUGAAAUCCCUCAGCUUAACUGGGGAACUGCGUGUGAGACUGGCAGGCUCGAGGGCAGGAGAGGAACGCGGAAUUCCAGGUGUAGCGGUGAAAUGCGUAGAUAUCUGGAGGAACACCGGUGGCGAAGGCGGCGUUCUGGACUGUCUCUGACACUGAAGAACGAAAGCCAGGGGAGCAAACGGG
rnacentral:rRNA from 1 species